rnacentral:lncRNA from 1 species
CUUUCCUCCCACUCUGCCUCUCUCUCCCCCUCCCUCUUCCUCUCCUUUUCCCCUUGCCUUUCCUCCCCCUUCCUCUCCCCCUUCCUCUCUCCCUUCCCUUCCAUGAGACCCUCCCCAACCCAUCUCUGCAUCUCCCAGCUCCUCCCACUCCUGCUCCUCCCUCGCCCUGCCCCCCUCCACCUAUCCCAACUCCACUCAUCCGCAGCCCAAACACUGAUCUGUUUUAGUUUGCAUUUUCUAGAGUCGUCCAUAAAUGGAAUCAUCCCAUAUGUACUUGAUUUUGUCUGGCUUCUUUCACUCAACAUAGUUACUUUGACAUGCCUGCGUGUUUUUGCAUGGAACAAUCAUUCAUUGCUUCCUGAGCAGUAUUCCAUUUAUGGAUAUACCACCGUGUGUUUAGUCAGCACUUGAUUUAGCCUGCUUUCAAUUUUUCCUGAUUAGAACUACAGCUGCUAGGAACAUCCCUGUGCAAAUCUUUGUACAGACAUAUACGGUUUUUCCUCUCUGGGGUAAAUACCUGGAAGUGGAAUGCCCAGGUCGUAAGCCUAACCUGAACUUAAGCCGGCAGAUGAGGAUAAGGCUCCCCAGCCUCCCGGAACAAGCAGACAGUUAUUAAUGGAAAUGUUCCACCAGUUCAGGGAGUUUUUGGAAAACUAAAGGAGUUCGCAGGGUCAUACAUCAUCUUUUUCUUUCAUCUUGAAAACUAAGAAACGAAGAAAAAUUGGAUCAUGGAAAUACAGGAAUUUACAUCAGGUCUGUGCUGGGAGCCUUCCUGGGUGAUCCUGUGUUUCCAUCAUUAAUCACUUUGAACACUGCAUUCUCAUUUGGCAGAAUGCUGAAGCCUUACUGGUCUGAGGUGUCAGAGGUCAGAGCCUGAGACUGACAGAGGAGCCACAGGUGACCAGCAAACUGCAGAAGCUCUGGGGAGAACUCCAUGGAGUCAGGCUAAAAACAGCAGCAACCAGAAACUGUAAGAACUGAGCAGAGAUACCAGCUGCACCACUAGAGAGACAAAGUGUGUAGCUCACUGCCUAGUACAGCAAAAUAGCCACAAUCCUCAGAAGGACACAACAGAAUCUGGAAUCACUAGAAAGUAUUAUCUACAAUGCUCAUUCUUAACCAUGCAAAGAAGAAACAGGAAAGUGUGAUUCAAAGUCAGAAAAAAGUCAGUCAAUAGAAAUCUACUCUGUUAGGGACAGGUGUUGGUGAAUUAAGUAAUUAGAGACUCUAAAGCAGCUAUGAUAAAUAUGUUCACAGAGGAAAGCUCAAUAGAGAAAUGAAACUUCAAACAUGGAAAUUUAAGACUUGAAAAGUACAAAAACUAGAAAGAAAAAUUUACUAGGUGGACCAAACGGCAGAUUAGAGAUGCCAAAAUUGCAUAAAUUGAACAGAGAUCAAAAGACGUUAUUUAAUCUAAAAAAUUGAAGAAAAAUGAGCAGAGCCUUAGAGUCCUGUAAAAUAUCAAGCAAGAUAACAUAUAUGUAAUUGGGUUCCGGAGGGAGAGAAGGAAUGGAAAAAAAUAUUUGCAUAAAUAAUGACUGAAAAAUUCCAUGAUUGGCAGAAAACACUAAUUUACAGAUCUAAGAAGGUCAAGCACCCCAAGCAGGAUAUAUAAUUAUAUCACUUCCAUGCAGAAGAGAAAUGCAGAAAGCCAAAGAUAAAGAGCAAAGUGUUGAAAGCAGCCAAAGAAAAGUGACACAUCACGUACAGGAAAAUAGUUCAGCUCAAUGGCUGAAUUUUCAUCAGAAAUACUGGCAUUCAGAAGAAAUUUAAAAAUGCUGAAAACAAAACUAGCAGCCAAGAAUUUUGUAUCAAGCAAAAAUGUCUUUUCAAAAUUAAAGGCAAAAGGAAGCAACUUCCAGAUAAAUUUAAAAGACAGAAUUUAUGCCAUUAUAUUUACACUGUAAGAAAUGCUAAAUGAGGUUCUUCAGGUUGAAGGGAAAUGACCCUGAUGACAACAUGGAUCUACAGGAAAAAAUGAAAAGCAUCAGAAAUCAUACAUAUGUGAGUAAAUAUAAAAUACUAAAUAUUGAUAGAUGAAUAUAUGGAUAGGUACUACACAAACACAUAUGAACAUAUAAUUCUUAAUAUCUUAACACAUGAUAUAGGACUCUUCAAAACAAAAAAUUAUUACAUUGUAUUGUUGGGUUUGUAAUGGACACAGAUAUAAAAUAUGUAACAAUAUUAAGAGUAGGAAAAGUAGAGAUACAUUGUUAAAAGGUUCUAGUAUUUUACUUGAAGUAGUUCAAUAUUAACUCUAGACUAUUAUAAGUUAAAGUUAAGUUGCGUAUUGUAAUCACUACAGCAACCACUAAAAAUAGAACAAAGAAAUACGGCAAAAAAGCCAAGAGACGAAUUAAAAUGUAACACUAAAGAAAAAAAAAAAACACUACGGGGGGCCGGGUGCAGUGGCUCAUGCCUGUAGUCCCAGCACUUUGGGAAGCCAAGGCAGGAGGAUCACCUGAGGUCAGGAGUUCGAGACUAGCCUGGCCAACAUGGUGAAACCCCUCCCCCCAACCAAAAAUACAAAAAUUAGCUGGAUGUGGUGGCACGUGCCUGUAAUCCCAGCUAGUUGGGAGGCUGAGUAGGAAAAUCACUUGAACCCAGGAGGCAGAAAUUGCAGUGAGCAGAGAUCGUGCCACUGCUCUCCAGCCUGGGUGACAGAGCAAGGCUCCAUCUCAAAAAAAAAAAAAAAAAUUAACACUACAAAAGGCAGGAAGAGAGGAACUGUGGAAUAAAACAGAUCAGACAAAUAUAAAUGGGAAGCUUAACUAUAACCAAAUCAAUAAUCAUAUGAUAAUUGAAAACUAAUCAAAAGGUAAUUAAGUGGAAACUGACAUAUUAAUAUGUGUUCAGUCCAUAUACAUAUAUUAUCUCUUUAGUUCCUUUUAAAAAGUGUUUUAUAUUUUUCAGUGUAUAGAUUUUGCAAAAAGUUUGGUAAAUUUAUCCCCAUGUAGUUCAUAUUUUAGGAAGGUAUUAUAAGUUCAAUUGUACUUUUGCUGUUUUGUUCAUUGCUCACAUAUAGAAAUAUGAUAAAUUUUUAUGUAUUGAACUUUCAUCCUUUGACCUCGAUAGAUCUAUUUAUUAGUUCUAGUAAGUUUCUGUAGUCUUCUUAAGAUUUUCUGUAUAAAUGGUCAUGCAAUCUGAAUAAAUACAGUUUUACGGCUUCCU